rnacentral:rRNA from 1 species
UACAGAGGGUGCAAGCGUUGUUCGGAAUUAUUGGGCGUAAAGAGCUUGUAGGCGGUUUGUCGCGUCUGCUGUGAAAAUCCGGGCUCAACCCGGACUUGCAGUGGGUACGGGCAGACUAGAGUGUGGUAGGGGGAGACUGGAAAUUCCUGGUGUAGCGGUGAAAAUGCGCAGAUAUCAGGAGGAACACCGAUGGCGAAGGCAGGUCUCUGGGCCACUACUGACGCUGAGAAGCGAAAGCAUGGGGAGCGAACAGG